UACGUAGGGUGCAAGCGUUAAUCGGAAUUACUGGGCGUAAAGCGUGCGCAGGCGGUUUUGUAAGACAGGUGUGAAAUCCCCGGGCUUAACCUGGGACCUGCAUUUGUGACUGCAUUGCUGGAGUGCGGCAGAGGGGGAUGGAAUUCCGCGUGUAGCAGUGAAAUGCGUAGAUAUGCGGAGGAACACCGAUGGCGAAGGCAAUCCCCUGGGCCUGCACUGACGCUCAUGCACGAAAGCGUGGGGAGCAAACAGG
rnacentral:rRNA from 1 species